rnacentral:rRNA from 1 species
AAUUUUUGACAAUGGGGGCAACCCUGAUCCAGCCAUCCCGCGCGUGCGAUGAAGGCCUUCGGGUUGUAAAGCACUCUUGGCAGGGAAGAAAAGCCGCGGGUUAAGACCCUGCGGUGCUGACGGUACCUGCAGAGUAAGCACCGGCUAUCUACGUGCCAGCAGCCGCGGUAAUACGGAGGGUGCAAGCGUUAAGCGGAAUUACUGGGCGUAAAGCGUGCGCAGGCGGUUCGGCAAGAAGGAGGUGAAAUCCCGGGGCUUAACCGCGGAACUGCAUUCUUAACUGCCGGGCUAGAGUAUGUCAGAGGGGGGUAGAAUUCCGCGUGUAGCAGUGAAAUGCGUAGAGAUGCGGAGGAAUACCGAUGGCGAAGGCAGCCCCCUGGGAUAAUACUGACGCUCAUGCACGAAAGCGUGGGGAGCAAAC